UACGUAGGUGUCAAGCGUUGUCCGGAUUUAUUGGGCGUAAAGCGCCCGCAGGCGGCUUGCCAAGUUCGAUGUGAAAUCUCCCGGCUCAACUGGGAGGGUGCAUCGAAAACUGGCAGGCUUGAGGCAGGGAGAGGGAUGUGGAAUUCCAGGUGUAGUGGUGAAAUGCGUAGAUAUCUGGAGGAACACCGGUGGCGAAGGCGGCAUCCUGGACCGGUAUCGACGCUGAGGCGCGAAAGCCAGGGGAGCAAACGGG
rnacentral:rRNA from 1 species